GACGAACGCUGGCGGCGUGCUUAACACAUGCAAGUCGUGCGGUAAGGCCCUUUCUGGGGUACACUAGCGGCGCACGGGUGAGUAACACGUGUGCAACCUUCCCUUCUCUUUGGGAUAACUGCCCGAAACGGUGGCUAAUUCCCGAUUUGACUUCCUCACACAUGUUGGGUGGUGUUAAGCCUUCGGGUGGUGGGGGAUGGGCUCGGGGUCUAUCCUCUUUUUGGUGGGGUGAGGGCCUACCAACGACUAGCAGGGUCGCCUGUCUGAGAGGGUGACCGGGCACAAUGGGACUGAGACAGGGCGCAGACUCGAACGGGAGGCAGCAGUGGAGAGUAUUGGACAAUGGGCGAGAGUGUGAUACAGAAACGCCGGGUGAGGAAUGAAGGCCAUCGGGUUGUAAACCUCUUUAGCCUGAGACGAAGCGAGAGUGACGGUAGCAGGAAAAGAAGCACCGGCCAACUACGUG
rnacentral:rRNA from 1 species